rnacentral:lncRNA from 1 species
CAAUGCCCCAAUAAAUAUUGUUGAAUGUUGAUUGACGAAAUGAUGAUUGUUGUUGUUGUUCGUUGUCGUUUCAAAAUUUAUUGUUAUUUAUUUCAAACUUUAAUUUCGUAAUAACAAAAUGAGUUCAUAAUAUUAUUUUGAUUGUUUUCAUCUAUUUCCUAUGUAUGAAAGAUAAAAAAUUAUUGUUCAAUAGCACAGAUAAUAAUUCCAUCUCCAAAAUUUGUAUUUUCAUUUUUAUUUCUUUCAUUCACUAUUUGCUCUCACCUGAAUUAUAUUUUCUAGAUUCAUUUUGAUUAUAUAUUUAUCAACUCAUUGUAAUAGAUUAUUAUGAUGACACUGUUUGCAUAAAGUAAAUAAACAAUAUUUAUUGAAGCAUUGAUACAGUGAUGAUAUAGAUAAGCACCUGUAUUGAGAUUUUGUGCCUUUGUAGUUCUUCAAACAACCGUACGUCGCUAGCGCCAUAAGUGAGCCGUAAGUGAGACGGAACUGAGCCGAGACGACCAUCGAACACAGCUAUCGUAGAGCCUCGAUUAUCCGAACCGCUGUAUGAGUAUCCGAACGUUCUACUAUCCGCAGUCCAAUUCACAGGGCAAAUUUUUUACAAUUUAGGGCUAUUUUUUGCCGCUGAUGGCGCUUGUAAAAUUUUUUUUAUAUAGAUUUUAUCAUAUAUUUAAUACUACUAUAUUGCGCAUCGCCUAUGCUUUCCCAUAAGUGGAACGCUGGUUCCUCAAACGGUGCAGACAAUCUCUCUGUCGCAGUCCUUGGAAGAUUUAGGCAAUGACAAGAGUGGGGAUUCGGCUUCCAUACAUGCACAAUGAAUUUGUGUGCGUAUUAUUUCUGUAUAUGUGUUGAGCUAUUCCGAGUUCUGCCGAAUCCCCACUCUUGUCAUUGCCUAAAUCUUCCAAGGACUGCAACAGAGAGAUUGUCUGCACCGUUUGAGGAACCAGCAAAAUCGAGCCCCAUGCGCAAUAUAGUAGUAUUAAAUAUAUGGAUUUUAUCAAGAAGACUAGAAAGAAGGAGAGUCAACUCCGUACAUUAGAAAUGGGACAAAAUAUGUCCUGUACCUCGAGCUUCUCAAAUUCGCCAAUUUGGCGCUGAUUGUUCUCAGCCGUACUUAUGCGCUAACUAUUUUGAAUUAAUAUUGUUAUAGCGCAGAUUCGUUUGGGAUAGCGUUUUUUAUUUUUUUUUUUUCUGUCAUGUAAUUUAUAUACAUGUUUUAUAUCAAAAUUAUACGUAAAUAUUUCACGAGUUUGUUGCAUCAAAAAGUGCUCGGAAAACCAAAAACAAGAGUGAUUUGACGGCUUUUUCAGAUACCAAAAGAUGCUCGUGUAACAUGGCUUAAUGUGAUAGUUGUUAACAAUUUUUGUGAACUAUAUUUUCAAGAAGAAGAUAUAAUUUGAUUAUUUCAUACAAUAAAUCCCAAACAUUGUUGAUAAUGUCAAUAGUGAGACCAAAACGUAGAUGUGCAGCAAGACAAACAUAAUCAUAGUUUUGAUGAUUCAUGUGCUGUAUUAUCUAAGUCAGCAACUCAAAAAUCGCGUGAUGCUGCAGAUGAAAAAUAAUUAAUUUUUGUAAUGUUGACAAACAAAAUUUAUUGUCAAGUGAACAAGUUGAUAUGAUUUUAUUACAGUAAUAUUUUUUAUGUUACUUGUUAAUUUUUAAAAACGUUACUUAUCGAUCAUCAUCACCCAGUAAAUUUUUUUGUCUGUUUAAUAUGGAUCAAUAAAUUGAUAAACCUGAUAUAUUCCUUUGACAUUGCUCUAAGAUGAUCGAAUAAUAAACCUGCGCUAUAACAAUGUUUAUUAAAAAUAGUUAGCGCAUAAGUACGGCUGAGAACAAUCAGCGCCAAAUUGGCAAAUUUGAGAAGCUCUAGGUACAGGACAUAUUUUGUCCCAUUUGGCCUAUCCCCCACUACAGGGAGUUGACUCUCCUUCUUUCUAGUCUUCUUGGAUUUUAUAUACAAAAGCUUUACAAGCGCCGUCAGUGGAGGAAAAAAGCCCUAAAUUGUAAUGCCCUGUAAAUUGGACUGCCGAACGUUGAAAAAAAAAAAAAAACAAAAAGACCUGGUAAUGUUUGUUGGGACGUGUUGCCCGCGUUACCCGUUGAAAAUUAAAAAUUUUCAAUACUCCGGCUAGGGCCAUAGUUAUUUUAAUUUUUCAGAUAUAAUAGAAUUAUGGUUUUUAAAUAAUUUUAUUGUUUAUUGAUAAUAAAAUUAUUCAAAAAUAAAUUUUUAUGUUUAUUUUUUUUUUCUCUCAAAAAGUAUUGAAGAUAGCAGAAAAAACCCACAAUGCGGGCGAUAAA